GUUGAACGCUGGCGGCAUGCCUUACACAUGCAAGUCGAACGGUAACAGGCCGCAAGGUGCUGACGAGUGGCGAACGGGUGAGUAAUGCAUCGGAACGUGCCCAGUCGUGGGGGAUAACUGCUCGAAAGAGCAGCUAAUACCGCAUACGACCUGAGGGUGAAAGCGGGGGACCGUAAGGCCUCGCGCGAUUGGAGCGGCCGAUGUCAGAUUAGCUAGUUGGUGGGGGAAAGGCCUACCAAGGCAACGAUCUGUAGUUGGUCUGAGAGGACGACCAGCCACACUGGGACUGAGACACGGCCCAGACUCCUACGGGAGGCAGCAGUGGGGAAUUUUGGACAAUGGGCGCAAGCCUGAUCCAGCAAUGCCGCGUGCAGGAAGAAGGCCUUCGGGUUGUAAACUGCUUUUGUCAGGGAAGAAAUCUUCUGGGCUAAUACCCCGGGAGGAUGACGGUACCUGAAGAAUAAGCACCGGCUAACUACGUGCCAGCCGCCGCGGUAACAC
rnacentral:rRNA from 1 species